rnacentral:rRNA from 1 species
AGAGUUUGAUCAUGGCUCAGAAUCAACGCUGGCGGCGUGCCUAACACAUGCAAGUCGAGCGAGAAAAGGGGGGCAACUCCCUGAGUACAGCGGCGCACGGGUGAGUAACACGUGGGUAAUCUGCCCUGGAGUGGGGAAUAACACCGGGAAACCGGUGCUAAUACCGCAUACGAUCACGGAGUCUGCGGAUUUUGUGAUGAAGGGAGCAAUUCGCUCUAGGAGGAGCCCGCGGCUGAUUAGCUAGUUGGUGAGGUAAUGGCUCACCAAGGCAACGAUCAGUAUCCGGUCUGAGAGGACGGUCGGACACACUGGAACUGAGACACGGUCCAGACUCCUACGGGAGGCAGCAGUGGGGAAUUUUUGGCAAUGGGGGCAACCCUGACCAAGCAACGCCGCGUGGGUGAUGAAGUCUCUUGGGACGUAAAACCCUUUCGACGGGGACGAAACCGCAAGGUUGACGGUACCCGUAGAAGAAGCCCCGGCUAACUCCGUGCCAGCAGCCGCGGUAAUACGGGGGGGGCAAGCGUUGUUCGGAAUUACUGGGCGUAAAGGGCGCGUAGGCGGUGCUCUAAGUCGGAUGUGAAAACUCUGGGCUCAACCCAGAGCCUGCAUCCGAAACUGGAGUGCUAGAGUUCUGGAGGGGGUAGCGGAAUUCCUGGUGUAGCGGUGAAAUGCGUAGAUAUCAGGAGGAACACCGGUGGCGAAGGCGGCUACCUGGACAGAAACUGACGCUGAGGCGCGAAAGCUAGGGGAGCAAACAGGAUUAGAUACCCUAGUAGUCC